UGGCAUAGAUUAGUGGAUCUCUGCAGUGG
rnacentral:piRNA from 1 species